UCCCUGGUGGCCUAGCGGUUGAGGACUCAGCAUUGUCACUGCUGUGGUGCAGGUUUGAUCCCUGGCCCGGGAA
rnacentral:tRNA from 1 species